AUCCGGAGUUGCAUAUUUGGGUAUGUCAUUUUCUUUGCUUCGACGGAGGAAAUCUUGGAGAAUCUGAUUCAUAUUUAGUGGACUCAAGGAAUAAGAAAAACUACUAUAUGAAUGAAAAUAUCAGAUAUAUUUGAGAGGUUUCCA